rnacentral:lncRNA from 1 species
CUUUAUCUCAUUUUAUAGUGUUUGACUGGAAGUCUAUUUUAUUUGACAUGAGUAUAGCUACUCCUGCUCUGCUCUGGUUUCCACAUGCAUGGAAAAUAUGUUUCCAUUGUUUUACUUUCAUUCUACGUUUGCUCUUACAGAGGAAGUGAGUUUCUUAUGGACAGUAUAUAAAGAGGUCCUGUUUGGGUCUUGUUGUUGUUUAUAGUGGUUAUUGCUUCUAUGUGUGUUUUUCAAAUCUAUUCAGCCUAUGCCUUUUGAUUGGGAAAUGCGAUCUAUUUACAUUCAAGCUUAAAUAAUUACCUCAAGCAUAUCUUAUAAAACAGGUCUGAGAUUGAAAAGCUCCCUCAGUUUUUGUUUGUCUGGAACCGACUUUAUUUCUUCUUCAUUUCUAAAGGGCAGCUCUGCCAGGUGAGAAACAACAUUGGAUGGUUUCAGAGAUACUGCCUGUUACUUACUGUUUGCAGUCAAUAUGGUUAAGAAUUCAAAGCACAAGGAACAAUUAUCAAAUAUAUUAUUUGAAAUAUAGAAGUAAAAGUUACAAGGAAUGUAAAAAUAUCAAAUAAUGUAUUAUCUGCAUAGCAAAAAUAGAAGAGUACAACAAAUGGCUGCUGUAUUUUAUUUUAAAGCUUCCUGGUAAUAUUUUAUCCUAAAGGUAUGUAUAUUAUUAUGUUAAUAAAAAUAAAUAAAUAUCUUAGGUUGAAAUAUAUAUUUAUGAAGAUUCAUAGGGUAUACUAUAUUCUGGGCAAAUUUCAAUAAAAAGAAACCAUGCCUGACAGAGUUUUCAAUUAUUGAAGAAAUAUCACUUUAUUCUAAAUCACAGUGAUAGGAAUUAAAAUUAAGAACUUAAGAAUAACAAAGCCUUAGAAUAAAAUUACAUCCAAAGAGCUUUGAAUUAAUUCUAAAAUAAAUGGCUCAACCUUUUAUGUAAAUCUUAUUUAAUAAAUAUAUACAUAAAUAAAUAUUCCAGACAGAGAUAAUAUAGCAAGAAUAAAACCACAAAGACCAUAAAAAUUUGGCUCUAAAUAUUCACAGAUGAUGAAAAAUAAAAGUAUAAUAAAUACCUUGUUGCAUAAAGGAUGAAAUAAAACAAUUUUUCAAACUUGACUCUAUAAAUUUAAUAAAUAAACUUUAAAGGAUAGUUAAUUUUGUAAGGAGCCAGUAGUAGAAUUUAAAAGAAAAAGUAUGUCUCCCCGAAAAGAAUGAGGAAGAGCAAAGUGAGAUUUAAUAAAAGGCAAAACAUGUAAUAAAAGGCAGAACGUGUAAUAAAAGGCAAAACAUAAAAAACAUUCACAUUUUACAUAUGUGUGUAUGCAUAUGUAUAUACAUAUAAUUUUGUUGUUUUCGAUUAUUCUAUAUGUCUGCAAGCAUAUGAAAUAUAAGCCAAUUUAUGAUGAUGAAAUAACAAACAUAACAAGUUAUUCUAGAUACAUGAGCUAUACUACAAAAUAAAAAUAAAAACAAAU